CAGUCGCCGCGGUAAUACGUAGGGUGCAAGCGUUAAUCGGAAUUACUGGGCGUAAAGCGUGCGCAGGCGGUUAUAUAAGACAGUUGUGAAAUCCCCGGGCUCAACCUGGGAACUGCAUCUGUGACUGUAUAGCUAGAGUACGGUAGAGGGGGAUGGAAUUCCGCGUGUAGCAGUGAAAUGCGUAGAUAUGCGGAGGAGCACCGAUGGCGAAGGCAAUCCCCUGGACCUGUACUGACGCUCAUGCACGAAAGCGUGGGGAGCAAACAGGAUUAGAUACCCGGGUAGUCCCUGUCUCUUAUAC
rnacentral:rRNA from 1 species